rnacentral:rRNA from 1 species
UACGUAGGGUGCAAGCGUUAAUCGGAAUUACUGGGCGUAAAGCGUGCGCAGGCGGUUAUGUAAGACAGUUGUGAAAUCCCCGGGCUCAACCUGGGAACUGCAUCUGUGACUGCAUAGCUAGAGUACGGUAGAGGGGGAUGGAAUUCCGCGUGUAGCAGUGAAAUGCGUAGAGAUGUGGAGGAAUACCGAUGGCGAAGGCAGCCCCCUGGGCCAAUACUGACGCUCAUGCACGAAAGCGUGGGGAGCAAACAGG